UCUUUGCUGACGAGUGGCGGACGGGUGAGUAAUGUCUGGGAAACUGCCUGAUGGAGGGGGAUAACUACUGGAAACGGUAGCUAAUACCGCAUAACGUCGCAAGACCAAAGAGGGGGACCUUCGGGCCUCUUGCCAUCGGAUGUGCCCAGAUGGGAUUAGCUAGUAGGUGGGGUAACGGCUCACCUAGGCGACGAUCCCUAGCUGGUCUGAGAGGAUGACCAGCCACACUGGAACUGAGACACGGUCCAGACUCCUACGGGAGGCAGCAGUGGGGAAUAUUGCACAAUGGGCGCAAGCCUGAUGCAGCCAUGCCGCGUGUAUGAAGAAGGCCUUCGGGUUGUAAAGUACUUUCAGCGGGGAGGAAGGGAGUAAAGUUAAUACCUUUGCUCAUUGACGUUACCCGCAGAAGAAGCACCGGCUAACUCCGUGCCAGCAGCCGCGGUAAUACGGAGGGUGCAAGCGUUAAUCGGAAUUACUGGGCGUAAAGCGCACGCAGGCGGUUUGUUAAGUCAGAUGUGAAAUCCCCGGGCUCAACCUGGGAACUGCAUCUGAUACUGGCAAGCUUGAGUCUCGUAGAGGGGGGUAGAAUUCCAGGUGUAGCGGUGAAAUGCGUAGAGAUCUGGAGGAAUACCGGUGGCGAAGG
rnacentral:rRNA from 1 species